rnacentral:sRNA from 1 species
GCUGGGCACAGUGGUACAUGCCUGUAAUCCCAGCAACUCCGGAGGCUGAGGCAGGAGGAUCAUGAGUUCAAAGCCAACCUUAGCAACUUAAAGAAGCCCUAAGAAAUUUAGUGAGACCCUGUCUUAA